GAUGAAGAACGUAGCGAAAUGCGAAAAGUAAUGUGAAUUGCAGAAUUCAGUGAAUCAUCGAAUCUUUGAACGCACAUUGCGCCCGCCAGUAUUCUGGCGGGCAUGCCUGUCUGAGCGUCAUUUCAACCCUCACGCCCCUAGGGCGUGGUGUUGGGGAUCGGCCAAGGCCCGCAAGGGACGGCCGGCCCCUAAAUCUAGUGGCGGACCCAUCGUGGCCUCCCCUGCGAAGUAGUAAUAUAUUCCGCAUCGGAUAGCGAUGAGCCCCUGCCAUUAAACCCCCAACUCUUUCAAGGUUGACCUCAGAUCAGGUAGGAAUACCCGCUGAACUUAAGCAUAUCAAUAAGCGGAGGA
rnacentral:misc_RNA from 1 species